rnacentral:rRNA from 1 species
UACAGAGGGGGCAAGCGUUGUUCGGAAUUACUGGGCGUAAAGCGUGCGCAGGCGGUUCGUUGUGUCGGUGGUGAAAGCCCCGGGCUUAACCUGGGAAUGGCCAUGGAAACUGGCGAACUGGAGUGUGGCAGAGGGGGGUGGAAUUCCGCGUGUAGCAGUGAAAUGCGUAGAGAUGCGGAGGAACACCGAUGGCGAAGGCAGCCCCCUGGGCUAGCACUGACGCUCAGGCACGAAAGCGUGGGGAGCAAACAGG